rnacentral:rRNA from 1 species
AUGAAGCGCCCGUUUCUGAAUCUGGUUCUGGGCAGCCACAAGACCGGAUCUUUCGCGCUACGCCGCAUCAAGACGGCGAGCUUCUUCCACCCAAAGAAGCAGAGCGGAUGCCCAACGCCGGCGGCGAUGGAAGUUGCCGAGCUGCCUGAACCCACGCUGUCCUUCGGCGCUCCUCCCUGCACGGAGGAGGGCCGCGCCGGGACCGGGAGGAUGACGAUGCGCUUCAUGCCCCUCGGCAGCAGCGCGGACAAGAUCGUCAGCACGGACCAGGACGGCAACGUGCUGCUUUACGACGCCUGCGUGAACAAGGUGCGCUCCUUGCCCAGGCUCACCGGGCGCAUGCGGAGCCCCGUCCCCAUCGCCGCCGGCGACGCCCUCUACCUCAUCGAGGCGUGUCCUCGCAAGAUCGACGCCGAUCAACCCCAUCAGUGCAGCUUCAAGGCCCUCAUCCACGGCGAACCGCCCGAGGGCGUCAACGGUUCGCCGGGGUGGCACUGGCACGCGCUCCCGCCGCCUCCCUACGUGGAGGACCACGGCUACGAACUCAAGAACGGGCCCUCCUCCGGCGGAUGCAGGAUCGCCUCCUGGGCGGUGGUCGGCGACAGCAUCUGGAUAUACCACGACCACAAAACCACCUACUCCUUCGACACGACUGGCCGCGAGUGGAGCUACGCCAGCGGCCGGAUCCGGAACACGCUGGGCCGCGCCGAGCAUGUCCCUGAGCGCGACCGCUUGUUCGGCUUCCGCUUUGUUUCCAGUGGUGACAACCAGCUGUUCUGCGCCUCGGACCCCGCCGAGCGGCCGGCGCUGCUAGCGACAGCGUCUGGGAAGAAGAAGCGCCCGAGGAGGAGCCCCUCGGCUGGUCGCCGGACUUUGCGAGGGCGCCCGGGGACUGGCACUCCCACCACCUUGUGCACCUUGGCUCCGGCAGGUUCUGCACCGCCAGGUUUUAUGACCGCGCGGGGGAGAGAUUUGCCAUCUUUGCCGGUGUGGAGGUCGACCGGGGUCUCAACAUGGUCAAGCACAAAUCGCUACGGUACAACUUGA